rnacentral:rRNA from 1 species
GAACGAGAAAGUUUUCUUCGGAGAACGAGUAAAGUGGCGCACGGGUGAGUAACGCGUAAGUAAUCUACCCUUGCAUUUGGGAUAACUACGGGAAGCUGUAGCUAAUACCGGAUACGUUCAUAGAGUUACGACUCUAUGAAGAAAGAUGACCUCUUCUUGAAAGUUAUCGUGCAGGGAGGAGCUUGCGUACCAUUAGCUAGUUGGUAGGGUAAUGGCCUACCAAGGCGACGAUGGUUAGCGGGUCUGAGAGGAUGAUCCGCCACACUGGAACUGAAACCGGACCAGACUCCUACGGGAGGCAGCAGUGAGGAAUAUUGCGCAAUGGGGGAAACCCUGACGCAGCGACGCCGCGUGGAUGAUGAAGGCCUUCGGGUCGUAAAAUCCUGUCAGAUGGGAAGAAAUGUAUGAGGGAAUAAUACCUCUUGUGCUUGACG